rnacentral:lncRNA from 1 species
UCAAACUUGGAGAGAGAAUCAGUACUGAGAAGGGCUGUUUCCAGUUCCUCUUGAACUUUUUCUUUCUCCUUUUGAAGAAAUGAAUAGUCUUUAGACAUAACUCUAAACCACUUCAUGUAUUGAUGCAGAUCAGAUGUUAUGUCGUGUAAUGCAGUUCUAAGGUCAUCAAUAUCUACAUCAGGAGAGUUGAAGUCAAAUACCU